rnacentral:lncRNA from 12 species
AAGAGUAACAGCAGUCCAUUUAGACUCUGUGUCCAUCUCUCUCCUACCUGUGCUUGCCUUCCAGUACCUUUCAUACCUUCUAAAAUGGCCUCUCAUUCAUCAGGAGAGUUUGAGGGUUCACAGUUUUUUAGAUCAAACUCUGAAGAUAAAGAAGGAUGGGAACUUAUACUUUUAGGAAUGCUGUCAUUAGAAAAAAAACUUCACAAAUGCCAGGACUUAACUUGAUCAAAUUAAUAAGCUGUUCCUGGGAGAACCUACUGUAUCAGCCAGGAGAACAUUGAAGAUUGAUCAUGUUCCUUAUCAGACACCUUCUGUAUCAGCUUAAUAGAAGCGACUUCACUAACAAGCGAUGAUGGUCAACCUAUUCACAACUGUUUCUACUGGUUUUUUUCCUCAAGUAAAGAAUAUAAUAGAAAACCUGUCAGUCCAAAAUCCUAGGUCCCUGUAAAUAUCAUAUAAAAUCAUUAUGACAUAAUCAUUCAAGCUUCCCUCCAAAACUUCUCUCAUCGAUUUAUAUUAAUUUGACAGUUUCUUCUAGGAAAUUUCUUGAGAUGAGAAAACAAACUUUCCUAGUAAGUUGCCCUUAGGUUUUCAGAAUCCAGACAAAGACGUGUAGGUUAAGUUUUAUAGCUUGUACUGCAGUACCUUCUGCAUAUUUGGUUCGUGUGUGUGUGUGUGUGUGUGUGUGUAAACUUUCAGGCAUAUCCAUCCUGUCCAACACCUAACCAUCCUCUACUCUCUCCACUCUCAUAUGGAGGAAUUUUUUAAUAUGCUCACAACAUAUUUCUUCAAGAAAAAUAAGAUCAUUUAAAUGCAAAGUUGUCACUGAGAUAUCUUGGUCAAUUUUUUGAGUACUCACUCAUUUAAAUGGCAAAGAAAUGAUUCCAUUUGAAAAUUAUACAGGAUAUAGUGCCUUUUCCCAGACACAUUUCCUUCCUCUCAUAAUGCAGGUUUUGUUGUUGUUGCUAUUGUUGUUGUUGUUGUUGUUUGUCCAGGCCCGUUCCCCAAAAUGAUCCUAAAUGGGACCUUACCAAAAAUGACUUCAGAUGAUAGCAGAAAGAGAGUGAUGAUCAGGAC